rnacentral:rRNA from 1 species
UGGGGAAUUUUGGACAAUGGGCGCAAGCCUGAUCCAGCAAUGCCGCGUGCAGGAUGAAGGCCUUCGGGUUGUAAACUGCUUUUGUACGGAGCGAAAAGGUCUGCCCUAAUACGGUGGGCUCAUGACGGUACCGUAAGAAUAAGCACCGGCUAACUACGUGCCAGCAGCCGCGGUAAUACGUAGGGUGCAAGCGUUAAUCGGAAUUACUGGGCGUAAAGCGUGCGCAGGCGGUUAUGUAAGACAGAGGUGAAAUCCCCGGGCUCAACCUGGGAACUGCCUUUGUGACUGCAUGGCUAGAGUGCGGCAGAGGGGGAUGGAAUUCCGCGUGUAGCAGUGAAAUGCGUAGAUAUGCGGAGGAACACCGAUGGCGAAGGCAAUCCCCUGGACCUGUACUGACGCUCAUGCACGAAAGCGUGGGGAGCAAACA